CCUCUACUUUAACAUGGAGGCACUUGCUGUGCCACGAGAAAUAAGAAAGUGCUUCCAUGUUUGAGUGUGG
rnacentral:pre_miRNA from 1 species